CCUACGGGUGGCAGCAGUGAGGAAUAUUGGUCAAUGGGCGCGAGCCUGAACCAGCCAAGUAGCGUGAAGGAUGACUGCCCUACGGGUUGUAAACUUCUUUUAUAAAGGAAUAAAGUGAGGCACGUGUGCCUUUUUGUAUGUACUUUUGAAACAGAAUAGGCUAACGCCGAGCCAGCCGCCGCGGUAAUACGGAGGAUCCGAGCGUUAUCCGGAUUUAUUGGGUGUAAAGGGGACGCAGAUGGGUUGUUAAGUCAGUUGUGAAAGUUUGCGGCUUAACCGUAAAAUUGCAAUUGAUACUGGCAGGCUUGAGUACAGUUGAGGUAGGCAGAAUUCGUGGUGUAGCGGUGAAAUGCGUAGAUAUGACGAAGAACUCCGAUUGCGAAGGCAGCUUACUAAACUGCCACUGACAUUGAUGCUCGAAAGUGUGGGUAUCAAACAGGAUUAGAUACCCCGGUAGUC
rnacentral:rRNA from 1 species